GUCAAAACACGUAAGGGCGUACGGUGGAUGGCUUGGCAGUGAAGAGCCGAUGAAAGACGUGGUAGCCUGCGAUAAGCUCCGGGGAGGUGGCAAACAACCUUUGAUCCGGAGAUCUCUGAAUGGGGAAACCCCAUCGAAUUAAGUUCGAUGACCUACUACUGAAUACAUAGGUAGUAUGGAGGGAACCUAGGGAAGUGAAACAUCUCAGUACCUAGAGGAAAAGAGACAAAAAAAUGCAGACUUUUUAUCUCUCAUUAUCAGCAAUGGUAGUGGCGAGAUAAAAAGUCUGUAGCAUUCCCUUAGUAGCGGCGAGCGAAACGGGAGCAGCCAAAACCUUUAUAACUAACGUUUGCACUGAGUUCUACGCAAGUAUAACCGCAGGCAUUCGGGCGAGCUUGGGCUAUCGUUAUAAAAGGUGUUGUGAGACAACGCAUGUGUCACCCAUGAAGGCACGCGCAGAGAACGACGUAUUAGCAGAAUCCUUUGGAAAAAGGAACCAAAGACGGUGAUAGUCCGGUAGGCGAAAAUACGAAGUCCUGUGGUGUUGAUCUCUAGUACAACGAGACUCGAGAAAUCUCGUUGGAAGCAGGCACGACGAUGUGCCAAGGCUAAAUACUCUUCCUGACCGAUAGUGAACAAGUACAGUGAUGGAAAGCUGAAAAGCAGCCCGGGAGGGCGAUGAAAUAGUUUCUGAAACCGUACGCUUACAAGGAGUUGGAGCGGGCGCAAGUCCGUGACAGCGUUCCUAUUGAAGAAUGAGCCGACGAGUGUGCUGUGUGUCGCUUGGUUAAGUUCCUGCGGGAACGAAGCCACAGUGAAAGCGAGCCUUAAUAGGGCGUUUUGGUGGCACACACACGACCCGAAACCCGGCGAGCUAGCCAUGACCAGGAUGAAGCUCUAAGAAAUUAGAGUGGAGGUCCGAACCCACGAGCCGUGCAACACUCGGGGAUGAGUUGUGGCUAGGGGUGAAAUUCCAAUCGAGCUGGGUGAUAGCUGGUUCUCCCCGAAAUAGAUUUUGGUCUAGCGCUGGUUCAUAGCUUAACGGAGGUAGAGCACUGAAUGGGAACACGGGCGCAAGCUUAGUGUUUCCAACCAAACUCCGAAUGCCGUUAAGUGUUCCCAGCAGUCAGUCCAUGGGGGCUAAGCUCCAUCGGACAAAAGGGAAACAGCCCUUGAUCGCAGACUAAGGCCCCUAAAUGUAUACUAAGUGUGAAAGGUGGUUCAGUGACUUAUACAACCAGGAGGUUGGCUUAGAAGCAGCCAUCCUUUAAAGAAAGCGUAACAGCUCACUGGUCAAGUUACCGAGCGCCGAAAACUUAUCGGGGCUAAGUAUACUGCCGAAGUCGCGAAUUUCGAUCUGAUUUAUCAGAUGAAAUGGUAGGGGAGCAUUCUGAUCGCGCAGAAGCGGAAGGCGUGAGCCACCGUGGAGCGUUCAGAAGAGAGAAUGUCGGUAUAAGUAGCAACAAGAAAGGUGAGAAUCCUUUCCACCGUAAACCCAAGGUUUCCAGGGCUACGCGAAUCGUCCCUGGGUUAGUCGGUCCUAAGGCAAGGCUGAAAAGCGUAGCCGAUGGACAGCAGGUUAAUAUUCCUGCACUUCUGUGAGUUUUCAAUGGGGUGACACAUCGUUCAAUUGGUCGAGUCUCCUGGAAUGAGACUUCGGGCACGGAGGGGUGACUGGUAGGCAAAUCCGCCAGUCGUAAGCCUCGCUGUGAGCGCAAGAUUAACGAAAGUUAAUCAAGGAUCGAGACUGCGGUGUCUAGAAAAACCUCUAGAGCUAAGCUCAUAGAAACCGUACCGUAAACCGACACAGGUGGGUGGGCAUAAGUGUGCUAAGGUGUACGAGAGAACCCAUGUUUAGGAACUCGGCAAUACAACGGCCGUACCUUCGGUAUAAGGCCUGCCUCGUAGCAAUACGAGGCCGCAGCUAAAGACGCUUUCCGACUGUUUACCAAAAACACAGCUUCCUGCAAAACCGCAAGGUGAGGUAUAGGAAGUGAUGCCUGGCCAGUGUCAGAACGUUAAGGGGAGAAGUCAUGGACUUCGGUCCGGCAGCUUUGAACUUAAGCGCUGAUGAACGCCGGCGAUAACUAUAAUCGUCCUAAGGUAGCGAAAUUCCUUGUCGGGUGAGUUCCGACCCGCACGAAUGGCAUAACGAGAGAGCGACUGUCUCAACAUGGGACUCGGCGAAAUUGCAAGUGGGGUGAAGAUGCCCUGUACGCGUAGUCAGACGAAAAGACCCCGUGAAGCUUUACUACAACUUGAUAUUGGGUAUUGGUUUAGCAUGUUCAGCGUAGGUGGGAGCUUCGGCGACAAUGAGACACCACCCUUGCUCUGACAAUACUCUGAUCACGAUCCAUGAAUCUGGAUAGUGAGACAGUAUCUGGUGGGUAGUUUAACUGGGGCGGUUGCCUCCUAAAAGGUAACGGAGGCGUUCACUAAGGUCAGCUAGGCGCGGAUGGAAAUCGCGCUGGUUCCGCAAUGGGACAAGCUGGCUUAACUGCAAGACCAACAAGUCGAGCAGAUGCGAAAGCAGGACAUAGUGAUCCGACCGUACGAUAUCGGACGGCGGAAGCUCAACGGAUAAAAGCUACUCCGGGGAUAACAGGCUGAUCUGGUCCAAGAGUCCACAUCGACGACCAGGUUUGGCACCUCGAUGUCGGC
rnacentral:rRNA from 1 species